rnacentral:rRNA from 1 species
UACGAAGGGGGCUAGCGUUGUUCGGAAUCACUGGGCGUAAAGCGCACGUAGGCGGACUUUUAAGUCGGGGGUGAAAUCCCAGGGCUCAACCCUGGAACUGCCCUCGAUACUGGAAGUCUUGAGUAUGGAAGAGGUUGGUGGAACUGCGAGUGUAGAGGUGAAAUUCGUAGAUAUUCGCAAGAACACCAGUGGCGAAGGCGGCCAACUGGUCCAUCACUGACGCUGAGGUGCGAAAGCGUGGGGAGCAAACAGG